CAUUCUAUCUUGUUUGGAUGGACUUCCAUCUCUUAAGUCUCUUUAUUUAAGGGAAAAUAAGUUCAGUACAUCUUCAUUAAACCAUGUUUUUGAAAGUGUGUCACGAAAGCUGCGUCGUAAUCUGGAGGUCCUUGACAUAAGUUGGAACCGUUUGACUAAUGAGAUCUUGCCAUCCCUUGAGGGAUUCACAUCUUUAAAGGAACUGGAUUUGAGUGGAACUGAAUUGGACUCGGAUCUUCACUUUGACGGUUUAUGCUCAACAUUGAGGAAUCUUGAGGUCCUUCGGUUGUCCUAUAACAACUUCGACCAAACUGAUAUUGGCUCUGCUCUCACUGGAUUCUCAUCCCUCAAGUCUUUAUAUUUAGAUAACAGUGCAUUCAGUUGGAGAUCGAUUUACAAUAUUUCAAAAUUGAGUUCUU
rnacentral:sRNA from 1 species